UCGCGAUAAGGUGUUUUUAUUUUUUUAUUUUCGAGACUAAUGAAGUUUUGUGUGAAAUCCCCAGCGUUCAUCUCCGUAUAAAGAACGAAUGUGAAAUUUCAGCAACAAAUUCAAGAAUUAUAGUCGGCUUCGAAGUGUUAACACAAGCAUAAGCUAUAAACAGUUUAUAGGAUGUUUGUGUGGUGUGGAUACUCGGUUGAGUGAGCUUACAAUCGAGAGUUGAGGAGGCUGUGCAAAUUUUGGUCACUCCUGUUACGGAGGAAUGGGAAAGAGAGCUCCUAAAGAACUUAUGCAAUUUACUGACCCCCGGCAAAAUCAGGGAGAAAUUCUGAUUGGAUCAAGGUUUUUUAAUGAUAAGCCUUACGUAAAACUGAAGAUGAAUCGCUUGCAGUAUCAACAACUCUCUAGAAUUUUAAGACAAUGGAUCCAUUCCCAGACGAUGCCCCAAAAUUUCGAAGAUGAUAAGAACCAGAUCUAACGAUGGAACUCAAUUUGCAAUAAAAGAUCAAUGGCUGGAAAACGUAAAUCAACACACAUUAAAUCUAUUGAAAUGUUAUGAAUAUUAAAUAUUCAAUUAUGUAUAGAUAAUAUUUGUAUAUUGACACAUAAGUUUGCAAAGAAAUAAAUAUUUAUAUCGCCCUGGCUAUCUCAACUAAGCAAAAACCCAGCUUUGUUGCAAUAUGCUCAGCCUCAUGAAAAACAGUUCAUUGUUCUG